GAUGAACGCUAGCUACAGGCUUAACACAUGCAAGUCGAGGGGAAACGAUGAGAGAGCUUGCUCUCUUAGUCGUCGACCGGCGCACGGGUGAGUAACGCGUAUCCAACCUGCCUCUGACCAAGGGAUAACCCGUCGAAAGUCGGACUGAUACCUUAUGCAGUCGUCGGAAGUCAUCUGAUGACGACGAAAGAUUUCAUCGGUGAGAGAUGGGGAUGCGUCUGAUUAGCUUGUUGGCGGGGUAACGGCCCACCAAGGCGACGAUCAGUAGGGGUUCUGAGAGGAAGGUCCCCCACAUUGGAACUGAGACACGGUCCAAACUCCUACGGGAGGCAGCAGUGAGGAAUAUUGGUCAAUGGGCGUAAGCCUGAACCAGCCAAGUAGCGUGCAGGAUGACGGCCCUAUGGGUGGUAAACUGCUUUUAUGCGGGGAUAAAGUGAGGGACGUGUCCUUCAUUGCAGGUACCGCAUGAAUAAGGACCGGCUAAUUCCGUG
rnacentral:rRNA from 1 species